CCUACGGGCGGCUGCAGUGGGGAAUAUUGGACAAUGGGGGAAACCCUGAUCCAGCAAUGCCGCGUGAGUGAUGAAGGCCUUAGGGUUGUAAAGCUCUUUUACCCGAGAUGAUAAUGACAGUAUCGGGAGAAUAAGCUCCGGCUAACUCCGUGCCAGCAGCCGCGGUAAUACGGAGGGAGCUAGCGUUGUUCGGAAUUACUGGGCGUAAAGCGCACGUAGGCGGCGAUCUAAGUCAGAGGUGAAAGCCCGGGGCUCAACCCCGGAAUUGCCUUUGAGACUGGAUUGCUAGAAUCCGGGAGAGGUGAGUGGAAUUCCGAGUGUAGAGGUGAAAUUCGUAGAUAUUCGGAAGAACACCAGUGGCGAAGGCGGCUCACUGGACCGGCAUUGACGCUGAGGUGCGAAAGCGUGGGGAGCAAACAGGAUUAGAUACCCCGGUAGUC
rnacentral:rRNA from 1 species